rnacentral:rRNA from 1 species
UACGUAGGUGGCAAGCGUUGUCCGGAUUUAUCGGGUUUAAAGGGUGCGUAGGUGGCCCUGUAAGUCAGUGGUGAAAUAUCUCAGCUUAACUGAGAGGGUGCCAUUGAUACUGCAGGGCUUGAGUACAGAUGAGGUAGGCGGAAUUGACGGUGUAGCGGUGAAAUGCAUAGAUAUCGUCAAGAACACCGAUAGCGAAGGCAGCUUACCAAGCUGUAACUGACACUGAGGCACGAAAGUGUGGGGAUCAAACAGG